CCUACGGGAGGCUGCAGUGAGGAAUAUUGGUCAAUGGACGAGAGUCUGAACCAGCCAAGUAGCGUGAAGGAUGACUGCCCUAUGGGUUGUAAACUUCUUUUAUAUGGGAAUAAAACGUUCCACGUGUGGGAUUUUGUAUGUACCAUAUGAAUAAGGAUCGGCUAACUCCGUGCCAGCAGCCGCGGUAAUACGGAGGAUCCGAGCGUUAUCCGGAUUUAUUGGGUUUAAAGGGAGCGUAGGUGGAUUGUUAAGUCAGUUGUGAAAGUUUGCGGCUCAACCGUAAAAUUGCAGUUGAAAAUGGCAGUCUUGAGUACAGUAGAGGUGGGCGGAAUUCGUGGUGUAGCGGUGAAAUGCUUAGAUAUCACGAAGAACUCCGAUUGCGAAGGCAGUUCACUGGACUGCAACUGACACUGAGGCUCGAAAGUGUGGGUAUCAAACAGGAUUAGAUACCCGGGUAGUC
rnacentral:rRNA from 1 species